AUUUAUAUAGUUUAAACAAAACAUUGCAUUUUCAAUGCAAAAAUAACUAAUUUUUAUAAAUA
rnacentral:tRNA from 1 species